GUAGGAUUAUUGGACAGACUCCUCGUGUGAUGGAAAUGGUCACAUGUUUUUCUAAAUAAAAUGAAAAAAUCUUAGUUUUCAGUGCUGGCACUUAAGGAUAAAUUAGUUGAGUUUGUGUUUCAGUUCGGGCACUGUAUUUGACAGGAAGUAUCCUAGAAGGAGAUGGGAAGGUGUAUUUUGAAGUGGUGGUAAAAAGUCAAAUUUAAUGGGAAGGACG